AAAAUCCAUUAAGCAGCAACAUUGGGAAUAAGUUACUUUGCUUCCCUUGACACUGUUCAAUGACAAGUCGGAUGCAAGUUGUAAGACCCGAGGUGUAAAGAGGAAUCACAUUAUUAUUAUAUGAUUGUGUUAAUGAAUGUAUGCUGUAUAUGUAGUGGCCCGUACCCGGAGAGUGACUGGAUGUCCACAAAGUCCCGCUGACGAUUGAGGGGAGUGAAGCGGAUGCAGGUAGAC